rnacentral:tRNA from 1 species
UUAAUUGAAGCCAAAAUAGAGGCAUUUUAUUGUUAAUAAAAAAAGUGAUACAUAAUCCAGUUAAA